CGGGGACCCGCACAAGUAGCGGAGCAUGUGGUUUAAUUCGAAGCAACGCGAAGAACCUUACCUAAGCUUGACAUCCCAAUGAUAUCUCCUUAAUCGGAGAGUUCCCUUCGGGGACAUUGGUGACAGGGGGUGCAUGGUUGUCGUCAGCUCGUGUCGUGAGAUGUUGGGUUAAGUCCCGCAACGAGCGCAACCCUUGUCUUUAGUUGCCAU
rnacentral:rRNA from 1 species